AAUCCAUCCCGAGCGGCCGAGAGACCUGGCUCAGCGACGCCGCAGCAACCACCCGGAGACGGGCAGGUGCUAACGCCAGGACCGAUGGAGU
rnacentral:ncRNA from 2 species